UUGCUGUUUUUUGGCUUUUGUUAGGUACAUUUGAGAUAGAAUCCAAGGAUACCACAUCUCAAACCUUGGGUAAUGAUGUUUUGGGAGCCAUGAUGGCUUGGUUUAAGGCCUUUGACUGAGAUAUGAAGGGUUAUAUGGAUGCUAUGAGGACAGACAUAAAGGGUGAUAUGGAUGCUAUGAAGAGUGAAAUGGUCACUAUGAAGAGUGGUGUGAUUAAAAUGAAAGCGGGGGUUGAUAGACUAUGUGAUAGAUUAUGUCUACAAACCCUCAACUAGUUCAAACACCUCAACACCAAAGAUCCUACAAUCCACCAAAUCCAAGGCCACCAAUUCAAAUCCUCCUUCAACCAAAUCCAGUUUCUCCUAUCCUAACUUCCCAAAACUGAAUUCCCUCCAUCCAAGUUGAAGAAGAGAAAGAGCUAUAACCUAAGGAAAGUGAGGCUGAGCCUUAAGAUGGAGAGAAAAUAGAUGGUGAGGUACAAGAAAAAUAUGAGAAAAAAAUAAGAAAAGGGAAGGGGAGGUCUCGAAAUGCGUGCUUGGAAAGGGAAAGGCAAACUUGAUUGUGGGACUUGCCCACAAGUGUGCCUUGUUACUUCCUAACCCAAAUGCUAGCAUUUUACCUAGUUUUGAUUCUUCUUAUGUGCAGGUACAAGAUGAAAUGAUAACCAAGAAGGAUCCAAAGGUAGUUCCAAAUGAAAGCAUGAGAAAUGAACUAGAGACUCCCUUGAUCGAGAGCUCCAGAAAAGUAAACUGCCCAAGCCUUACCCGAGGUGAUUUUACUACACUCAACACUUCCUUGAACUCAAAAUGUUGUGAUUUCGUAUCUUGUGAAGUGGUUUGGGGUUUGCAAGUGUAUAAGUCUUUCCUUAGUAACUCUUUUGUUGUGAAUAGUGAUCAACUUUCUCUUAAAACUAGUUCACUACUUGAACAUGAGAAAGGUAUGCUUGAGAAUUUCCAAGUUGGUAUUGAUGAUUGUAAUGUUGAUCUUGAUAUAGAACAUGGUCCUUUGAACUUGUAUAAUGAAAUUCGUGAGGUUAAUACUGUUCAACGUGACCACGUGUAUGUCAAUAUUGUGUGUGGUGUUUUGGGAAGUCAGGAUAUUAUCCUCAAGUACAAGGUGUGGGUGGUUUCAGCCUAGACCCCUGCCAACUACUUCUCUUUGACCCCGAAAUACCUUUGAGGUGUGGGAUGUGUGUAUAGGUUCAUGCUUAUUACCUUUUGAUGUUGAUUCCCUUUAAUUUAUUUGUAUCAUUUACGCUAAGCUUUUCAUUCCAAAUACCAAGGACACAUGGAUAUAUGUUAAGUGUAAACCACCUUGGAGUAAUAAUAUAAUUGUGGUACUAAUGCUACCCCUUCUACCAAGAGGAUUAUGUGUUUGUUUUGCUCUCUCUUUGGUUUUGCAAUAUCUAAAUUUGAGGACAAAUUUCUUUCAAGAUGGAGAGGAUGAACCAAGCACAAGUAGCACCAAG
rnacentral:lncRNA from 1 species